GGGAUAUGUUACUCCCCCUAGACACCCAGGAAGAUUGGCGUUGCUUGACAACAGUUUUGAGGCAGGAUAAAGAGCUCCAGGAACGAUUUCUUCGGUUUUUGGCAAUCAAAUGUGGGAGGGACCUAUAAGACAACCGUCUGGCGGAUGCUUCAAAGUACCUUCUCUAAUCACCUUUCCAUCAAUACAACCUGGACUGGAGUUGGGGAUAAAGCAUGUUUUAGAGACAUGUUCCUGAAGACCAUUGUUCAAAAUCUGUAUUUUCUACAGGAGCCAUCAAAAUCGGAAGA